GAGAGCAGCCGAGAGAGUGAGAGGGCUGAUAUUUAGCCCCGGCCAAGCGUCAUCUAGCCGUCCUCGACGCAAACCGGCGCAACGGAGCUCGCAGUCCCCCUCUUCUUCCACGUCCUCCGACGUUGGUUUUGGCCGAGAGGGACCAACAAGAGCGUGAGCCAAGAGAGUGAUUUGCUGUCGUCGGUGGUUCGUCAGUCAGUCGCCGUCCGCCGCAGUACCCCCACCGAACCAAAUCAGGUAGGUUUUCUCCGGUCAUGUAUGCUCCGUUUUCGUAGGGCGUCGGACCGGAGCUCGUGGACAACCUGUUCGCAUGAGCUUUUGUCCCUCUGACCCCCGUAGGUCUUUAUCCAAGUCUUUGUGUGCUUUUGGUCGUUUUUCGAGAAUCCCAAUCCCAUUUCGAGUCUCGAUUGAGUAGGAAAUCUAAACAUUCGGUAAUGCUCACGGACUGUUUGUAUAAAUGCCUAAGUGAAGCCCGCAUAACUAUCUCUGAAUCUUUGUUUAUUAUAGGCGUCCAUCGUUGCUAGACGUGUUUUGUUGUUGUUCUACACGUUUUUGUCUCGUCCAUUCCGAGUUUACAUUGUCGUGGUUAGGACUUAUGGCCAUAUGUUGUUAUUUGGGCUUAUUUUUGUGCAAGUUAUGUCUUGUCUUCCUCCUCGUCCGUUUAGGGGAGAGAGUGGGUGUCGGCUCGGCGGUGGCCCGAGUGCGGGUGGUGUCGAUGUGGGUGACGAAAAAUAGUGAGGCUCGUUUAAAAUGGUACUGGUUUGAUCGAUGAGUUUCGGUGAAAGAGGGUGUAGGAGAGAAGGUGGCUUCAGCGUGUGCAGAGAGGUCGCUGGAAGAAGAAGACCAAAAAAAAAAAAAGAAACAAGAGGAAGAGAAAAGUAUCGAAAAAGUGAAAAAAUAACAAAACAAAAAUUAAAAAA
rnacentral:lncRNA from 1 species